rnacentral:rRNA from 1 species
GUAGGGAAUCUUGCGCAAUGGGCGAAAGCCUGACGCAGCCAUGCCGCGUGAAUGAUGAAGGUCUUAGGAUUGUAAAAUUCUUUCACCGGGGACGAUAAUGACGGUACCCGGAGAAGAAGCUCCGGCUAACUUCGUGCCAGCAGCCGCGGUAAUACGAAGGGGGCUAGCGUUGCUCGGAAUUACUGGGCGUAAAGGGCGCGUAGGCGGACAGCUUAGUCAGAGGUGAAAGCCCAGGGCUCAACCUUGGAAUUGCCUUUGAUACUGGCUGUCUUGAGUUUGGGAGAGGUGAGUGGAACUCCGAGUGUAGAGGUGAAAUUCGUAGAUAUUCGGAAGAACACCAGUGGCGAAGGCGACUCACUGGCCCAAUACUGACGCUGAGGCGCGAAAGCGUGGGGAGCAAACAGGAUUAGAUACCCGGGUAGUCC